rnacentral:rRNA from 1 species
UACGUAGGGUGCGAGCGUUAAUCGGAAUUACUGGGCGUAAAGCGUGCGCAGGCGGUUUGUUAAGACAGAUGUGAAAUCCCCGGGCUUAACCUGGGAACUGCAUUUGUGACUGGCAAGCUAGAGUAUGGCAGAGGGGGGUAGAAUUCCACGUGUAGCAGUGAAGUGCGUAGAGAUGUGGAGGAAUACCGAUGGCGAAGGCAGCCCCCUGGGCCAAUACUGACGCUCAUGCACGAAAGCGUGGGGAGCAAACAGG